CUAUCACUUGUUAAUGAAUCAAUACCAAAAAAUUCUAACCAAUCUUUCUAAUCAAUCAUGGAUUAGAUUAAAAAGGUAAGAUCACAAGUAUAGGUUCUAUUUUAAUUUAAUACUUCCUAGUCCUAAAAGAAAGAAUUACAAAUCCUAAACAAAUCCUAAUCAAAUCCUAAUCAAAUCCUAAAAAAAUCCGAAAUAAAUCGUAACUGAACUCUAAUCAAAUUCUAAACAAAAUCUAAACAAACCUUAAUCAAAUCCUGAUCAAUUCCUAAACAUAUCCUAACCAAAUCGUAAAUAAUUCCAAGUAAUCUUAUAACAGAUUUAAACCUCAAUAAUUAAUCAAUGAACCAUUGAUUUUAACUCAAAAUUUGCAUACUUUUCAAAAAUUAAUUUGACAAUAAGCACAAAAUUUUUGAAGAUCGAAGUCACCAAAAAGAAGAUCGACCCUAAUAUUUACUCAGAUGUUGGCUAGUCUCCUUUUCCAAUCUGAAUGUUGAAUUUUUAAUACUAAUAUCUCCUUAUCAAACCAUUCAAUUGAUCUCAAAUUUCUCAUAUAUGUAGGAAAAUAAGUCUACAAUCCAUACACAUAAUUUUCACUCCACUUCAACUAAUAGAUUACAAGAAAUCUUAGAAAUCCUUAUUUGACCUAAAACUCUAUUUUUUAGACCGUAACCCACUUAAACCUCAAUAAUCCUCAAUCCAAUUUUUUGAUCAAGCUCAAACUCACAACAUAUAUUGAACACAUAUAAACCCACAAACCUUCAAACUUUCAUCUAUGGAUCUAUUGCCAAACUUACAAAGUUCUCCAAAAGGUAUCUCCCUUUUUAUUUCA
rnacentral:lncRNA from 1 species